rnacentral:rRNA from 1 species
CCUACGGGAGGCAGCAGUGAGGAAUAUUGCUCAAUGGACGAAAGUCUGAAGCAGCAACGCCGCGUGAGGGAUGAAGGUGCUCUGCAUUGUAAACCUCUGUAGUCGGGGACAAAACGUGGGUUACUACCCACUUGAUGGUACCCGAAAAGUAAGGAUCGGCUAACUACGUGCCAGCAGCCGCGGUAAUACGUAGGAUCCAAGCGUUGUCCGGAUUUACUGGGUGUAAAGGGUGCGCAGGCGGACCUGUUAGUCAGGGGUGAAAUCUCUCAGCUUAACUGAGAAACUGCCUUUGAUACUGCAGGUCUUGGAUCCAGAAGAGAGUUGUGGAAUUCCGAGUGUAGCAGUGAAAUGUGUAGAUAUUCGGAAGAACACCAGUGGCGAAGGCAGCAACUUGGUCUGGUAUCGACGCUCAGGCACGAAAGCAUGGGGAUCAAACAGGA